rnacentral:rRNA from 3 species
CUCUCGACAACGGAUAUCUCGGCUCUCGCAUCGAUGAAGAACGUAGCGAAAUGCGAUACUUGGUGUGAAUUGCAGAAUCCCGUGAACCAUCGAGUCUUUGAACGCAAGUUGCGCCCGAAGCCACUUGGCUGAGGGCACGCCUGCCUGGGUGUCACGCAUCGU